rnacentral:rRNA from 1 species
AUUGAACGCUGGCGGCAGGCUUAACACAUGCAAGUCGAGCGGAGCGGCGGACGGGUGAGUAAUGCUUAGGAAUCUGCCUAUUAGUGGGGGACAACAUCUCGAAAGCGAUGCUAAUACCGCAUACUAUUAGAUGAGCCUAGAUCGGAUUAGCUAGUUGGUGGGGUAAAGGCCUACCAAGGCGACGAUCCGUAACUGGUCUGAGAGGAUGAUCAGUCACACUGGAACUGAGACACGGUCCAGACUCCUACGGGAGGCAGCAGUGGGGAAUAUUGGACAAUGGGGGAAAGCCUGAUCCAGCCAUCCCGCGUGUGCGAUGAAGGCCUUCGGGUUGUAAAGCACUUUCAGCGGGGAGGCGUUACCCGCAGAAGAAGCACCGGCUAACUCCGUGCCAGCCGCCGCGGUAAUUC